rnacentral:rRNA from 1 species
AACGAACGCUGGCGGCAGGCCUAACACAUGCAAGUCGAACGCUCUCUUCGGAGGGAGUGGCAGACGGGUGAGUAACACGUGGGAACCUACCCCUUGGUACGGAAUAACUGAUGGAAACGUUAGCUAAUACCGUAUGAGAGCUGAGGCGGAAAGAUUUAUCGCCAAGGGAUGGGCCCGCGUAGGAUUAGCUAGUUGGUGGGGUAAAGGCCUACCAAGGCGACGAUCCUUAGCUGGUCUGAGAGGAUGAUCAGCCACACUGGGACUGAGACACGGCCCAGACUCCUACGGGAGGCAGCAGUGGGGAAUAUUGGACAAUGGGCGCAAGCCUGAUCCAGCCAUGCCGCGUGAGUGAUGAAGGCCUUAGGGUUGUAAAGCUCUUUCACCUGGGAAGAUAAUGACGGUACCAGGAGAAGAAGCCCCGGCUAACUUCGUGCCAGCCGCCGCGGUAAGAC